rnacentral:rRNA from 1 species
GUUGACGGAGCGAAGCGACGUCAAACCGAUAAAACAGCAGUGUAAAGUGAGCCGCAGGGCGCUUUGCGCGACAGCGCAAAGGCAGGCGGUUUCGCGUAGCGAAAGCGAAUGCUUUGGGGUGGGGUGACUGCGUACCUUUUGUAUAAUGGGUCAGCGACUUAUAUUCUGUAGCAAGGUUAACCGAAUAGGGGAGCCGGAGGGAAACCGAGUCUUAAUUGGGCGUUAAGUUGCAGGGUAUAGACCCGAAACCCGGUGAUCUAGCCAUGGGCAGGUUGAAGGUUGGGUAACACUAACUGGAGGACCGAACCGACUAAUGUUGAAAAAUUAGCGGAUGACCUGUGGCUGGGGGUGAAAGGCCAAUCAAACCGGGAGAUAGCUGGUUCUCCCCGAAAGCUAUUUAGGUAGCGCCUCGUGAAUUCAUCUCCGGGGGUAGAGCACUGUUUCGGCUAGGGGGCCAUCCCGGCUUACCAACCCGAUGCAAACUGCGAAUACCGGAGAAUGUUAUCACGGGAGACACACGGCGGGUGCUAACGUCCGUCGUGAAGAGGGAAACAACCCAGACCGCCAGCUAAGGUCCCAAAGUCAUGGUUAAGUGGGAAACGAUGUGGGAAGGCCCAGACAGCCAGGAUGUUGGCUUAGAAGCAGCCAUCAUUUAAAGAAAGCGUAAUAGCUCACUGGUCGAGUCGGCCUGCGCGGAAGAUGUAACGGGGCUAAACCAUGCACCGAAGCUGCGGCAGCGACACUGUGUGUUGUUGGGUAGGGGAGCGUUCUGUAAGCCUGUGAAGGUGUGUCGUGAGGCAUGCUGGAGGUAUCAGAAGUGCGAAUGCUGACAUAAGUAACGAUAAAGCGGGUGAAAAGCCCGCUCGCCGGAAGACCAAGGGUUCCUGUCCAACGUUAAUCGGGGCAGGGUGAGUCGACCCCUAAGGCGAGGCCGAAAGGCGUAGUCGAUGGGAAACGGGUUAAUAUUCCCGUACUUGGUGUUACUGCGAAGGGGGGACGGAGAAGGCUAUGUUGGCCGGG